AUAUGAUUUUUUCGUCUUGUAAGCGUGGCGUAUUUUCCUUUAUUUUUUUUCUAGGAAACAUUGGAACGACACUGCUUAAAUUGAAGCAUAGUGUACGAAUGACCUGCUACGCUCGGUCGGGAAGAAAUCAGAUGAAAAAAGAAAACUGUAAAUACCCAGUACUGUACGAUAUACGUCUGGUUCAUUGCAGUUUGUAUGAGCACUGUAACUAUCCAAGAUUCACUCUCGACGGGGACAGAGAAAUACCGGAUGCUGUACCGUUCAGAGCCAAGAACAUGUAAUGGCUGAAAAAGAGACUUCCAGGCAGUAUGCAAAACUCUAGCUCACAGCAGACCAGCACUGUCCUUUAGCUGUAUCGUACUAUUUCAGUGAACAAAGACUGCUUGCAAAUUGUUAACACUGCUGCACGAAAAAAAUAAUGUAUUUUAUGAUUGCAAAAUAAACCCCUAAAAAAUAAAACAUUGCGUUC
rnacentral:lncRNA from 1 species